UGAUACUGAUAUGAUAUUUAGAUUUCUCAAUGAUUUUAGAAUAAAAUAAGGCAUAAGAUGGCGAAGAAAAGCUUUACGUGCUCGAUGCUAUUUCUACACAUGUGCUAUAUGGUACUCUGUGAAUUCUGAAAAUUCCCAUAAUGUAUAUAUUUUUUUGAUAUAUAUCAUU